CCUUCGAUAGCUCAGCUGGUAGAGCGGAGGACUGUAGGCUCGACAGGCGUCUGUGGACAUCCUUAGGUCGCUGGUUCGAUUCCGGCUCGAAGGA
rnacentral:tRNA from 1 species